AGCGAACGCUGGCGGCAGGCUUAACACAUGCAAGUCGAGCGGGCCUUUCGGGGUCAGCAGCGGACGGGUGAGUAACGCGUGGGAACGUGCCCUCUGGUUCGGAAUAACUCAGGGAAACUUGAGCUAAUACCGGAUACGCCCUUUUGGGGAAAGGCUUGCUGCCGAAGGAUCGGCCCGCGUCUGAUUAGCUAGUUGGUGAGGUAACGGCUCACCAAGGCGACGAUCAGUAGCUGGUCUGAGAGGAUGAUCAGCCACACUGGGACUGAGACACGGCCCAGACUCCUACGGGAGGCAGCAGUGGGGAAUAUUGGACAAUGGGCGCAAGCCUGAUCCAGCCAUGCCGCGUGAGUGAUGAAGGCCUUAGGGUUGUAAAGCUCUUUUAUCCGGGACGAUAAUGACGGUACCGGAGGAAUAAGCCCCGGCUAACUUCGUG
rnacentral:rRNA from 1 species